CUUGGCCAGGUGAUAGACAAGCCGCGAAGUGAAGUGACUGCAACUCCGGUUCUCCAUAGGUUCCCCCAGUUUUCCCACUUUCCCGAUGCGAACUGAUGUGAUGUGAUGUUAUGUGAUGUGAUGUGUUGCUGUGCGAUGUCCAAUGCAAUGCGAUGCGAUGCGAUGUGAUGCGGCGAGGACAAGGACAAGACAUUCGGAUGUGUCAGUUGCGACAGUUAGAACAAAGCGAUAUUUAACCAAGGUGACAGGUGGAUGGUGGCUAUAAUGGUUGCUUGGUGUGCGGGGGGCAGAAACCGGAACAGUGCGCCUGAAAGGUGUGCGGUCGCAGAACAACAAACACCGUAGCGACAACAACGAAAUGCAAUUAGCAAAUAGAUGUGGCCGUGUGAUGCGAUGCCUUGC
ensembl:ncRNA lncRNA:TS26 long noncoding RNA: testis-specific 26